UUUGCUAUUUUUCUCCCCUUGCAGAGCAGAAGGUUUGAGAUGUGGCUUCCAAGGGUGUGAUUUUAAAUUAAUGGAAUCAAAGUCAAAUGUUGUCAGUAGCUUAAAAACAUUUAUGAGAAGUUACCAAUGAAAUUCCAACCAUUCCUCCAAGGUGUGGCCCUGAGAACAUUUCUGCAAAGAAUGAGAACUCUGAGAGAAUUCCCUGUAUUCAUGGAACCAUGCUGCUGAGCCUUAUGGACACCACAGGUCCUUAACAAAGAACACAACUGGGUUUUUAAAGGAGUAGAGGACACAGGACACUGCGGGACACUCUCAGGGAGCACUGCAAGAGAGGGAGAACAGAGCUUUGGUGCUGCUCUGCACUUGAACAAGUCUCUAAGUCUGCCUGAUGGGUGAGGAAGAGGAGGCAGAGAUCCUUCCAGGCAGAGCCAGUGCCAUGGCUGAGCUGUGAUCCCCAGAGCCCACCGGUGCUGCUGCUGCCCUCAGAAUGAAAACCAGCAGUGUCUGGCUGUGUUAUUCAGUCCCUAGCUCUGCUGGAAGCAGGAACACCAAUCCAGAUAACACCCAAGACUUAGAGCUGAGAGCUGGAAGCCCAAAUGUUUGUGUUUUGUGAAGGGCCUGCUGUGGUCUGACAGCCCUCAGGUGACUCUUGGUUUGCUACUGCCACUGUAAUUACUUUUCCCCCUUGUUUACCCUGCUGCUGACAGCACUUUCCUGCACAUUCCACCUCCCAGCUUUGCCCAGGCAAGGUUCCUGACUGGGUGGGUUUCUCCUACACCAAGAGGAAAGCAGUCUGGGCCUGGUAUUGUGUUGCUGUGGAGCAAUGUCAGCUCAGGCCAGCAGCACAUCCUGUGUCCAAACCUCAGGCUGGGCUGGACCUACUGAGAGCUACAGAAUGGCCUGGGUGGGAAGGGACCUCCAAA